rnacentral:rRNA from 1 species
GAUGAACGCUAGCGGGAGGCCUAACACGUGCAAGCCGAGCGGUAUUGUUUCUUCGGAAAUGAGAGAGCGGCGUACGGGUGCGUAACACGUGUGCAACCUGCCUUUAUCUGGGGGAUAGCCUUUCGAAAGGAAGAUUAAUACUCCAUAAUAUAUUGAACGGCAUCGUUUAAUAUUGAAAGCUCCGGCGGAUAGAGAUGGGCACGCGCAAGAUUAGCUAGUUGGUGAGGUAACGGCUCACCAAGGCGAUGAUCUUUAGGGGGCCUGAGAGGGUGAUCCCCCACACUGGUACUGAGACACGGACCAGACUCCUACGGGAGGCAGCAGUGAGGAAUAUUGGCCAAUGGGUGCAAGCCUGAACCAGCCAUCCCGCGUGAAGGGCGACUGCCCUAUGGGUUGUAAACUUCUUUUGUAUAGGGAUAAACCUACCCUCGAGAGGGUAGCUGAAGGUACUAUACGAAUAAGCACCGGCUAACUCCGUGCCAGCCGCCGCAGUAAGAC